ACUCCUACGGGAGGCAGCAGUGGGGAAUUUUGCGCAAUGGGCGAAAGCCUGACGCAGCAACGCCGCGUGAGUGAUGAAGGCUUUCGGGUCGUAAAGCUCUGUCAGGGGGAAAGAAGUGUAUUGCGGCUAAUAUCCGCGAUACUUGACGGUACCCCCAAAGGAAGCACCGGCUAACUCCGUGCCAGCAGCCGCGGUAAUACGGAGGGUGCAAGCGUUGUUCGGAAUUAUUGGGCGUAAAGCGCGUGUAGGCGGUUUGCUAAGUCUGAUGUGAAAGCCCCGGGCUCAACCCGGGAAGUGCAUUGGAAACUGGCAGACUUGAAUACGGGAGAGGGUAGUGGAAUUCCUAGUGUAGGAGUGAAAUCCGUAGAUAUUAGGAGGAACACCGGUGGCGAAGGCGGCUGCCUGGACCGAUAUUGACGCUGAGACGCGAAAGCGUGGGUAGCAAACAGGAUUAGAUACCCUGGUAGUCCACGCCGUAACGAUGAGAACUAGGUGUCGCGGGUA
rnacentral:rRNA from 1 species